rnacentral:pre_miRNA from 1 species
AUUAAGUUUAUUUUUUAAUUUUUAGAUAUAAUGUUUUGAUUGUUCGUAUUAUUUGAAAUUUUUUUACGAUUAAUAUUUUUAUAGCCACCGAUGGUAAAACAAAAAUAGAACUUUACGCGUGACUAAUUUUUUUAAUUUUUUAUAUAAAUUUUUCAAAUAAGACGAAUGGUCAAAUGUUGGAGUACAGAAAACAAAAAAUAAAAUUAUU